rnacentral:rRNA from 1 species
GACUACUGGGGUAUCUAAGCCUGUUCGCUCCCCACGCUUUCGCGUCUCAGCGUCAGUAUCGUUCCAGAGAGCUGCCUUCGCCAUUGGUGUUCUUCCUAAUAUCUGCGCAUUUCACCGCUACACUAGGAAUUCCGCUCUCCCCUCCCGAACUCAAGCGAGACAGUAUCCGGUGCAGGCUUGGGGUUGAGCCCCAAGGUUUCACACCGGACUUAUCAAGCCGCCUACACGCGCUUUACGCCCAAUGAUUCCGGACAACGCUUGCCCCCUACGUAUUACCGCGGCUGCUGGCACGUAGUUAGCCGGGGCUUCUUCUGGAGGUACCGUCACCCCAUGGGCUAUUAACCCUGGAAGCUUCGUCCCACCUGAAAGAGGUUUACAACCCGAAAGCCUUCUUCCCUCACGCGGCGUUGCUGCGUCAGGCUUUCGCCCAUUGCGCAAGAUUCCCUACUGCAGCCACCCGUAGG